GAAAACUUCUCUUUGUACAUUUACAAUUUUUUUUUUUCCUAGGAACCUUUUUUCUUUAGAAUUCUUAUUUUCGCUUUUUAUACGUGUAACUCCGAUGCAUAAGCUUCGCGCGCGCGUUCCUUAAAUAGUAAUUAUAAUGCGGCGAAAAAAAUUCAAGUCAAAUACGAAAAUGUGCACAACAAUCGAAAUUGAAAAAAGAGAGCACACAGACAACCACUGAUGAGUGUAGCAAACGAAGCACUAAAUGUAUGAAUAAAACGAGAAACGCCAACAAGUU